CCCUUGGUGUGUGUUGUUGGCAGAACUAGACAGGUGUGCUUGUGUGUGUGCAUGUGGUCAGUCCUGUAUGCAAUUGGCUUUUGAGGAGCAAGGCAGGAUGCACCAAACACUACAAAGGAGACACUGGAUAGAAGUGAGGCAGUGGUUGGCUUGGAGUAUGUCUGGUCAUUAGAGGCAGGAAGAACUGUAUAAUUGAAGGCUUAUAGAUGCAUACCCUACAUGGAGAGCUAGAUUUAGAGACCUUUUACUCUUUGAGGUCGUGGUGAGUGAGGUACGUUAAGGUUUGGACAUAUGCAAAGUAUUAGUGUUUGGUUUGGGGUAUGUGGAUAUUAGGCAGUUAAGGUAUUGCAGCAUCUGAAGUGAGGAGACCCAGGGUUGCUUGACAUUUUGGUGCAGAAACACAUGGUAUGCUUCAGGAAAACUCUUUGUGUUUUUUAGUACCACAGCAGCAGCAACAGCAGCACCAUUACUCAUGAAUGCAACUUAUUGUUAUGCCAUACAUGUUUUGCCUUUGAUGUACGUGCGUGUGUGUGAGUCUGUGUGUGCAAGUGUGUGUGUGUGUUGUCCAUAUACAUUGACCGAAGUAGUUUUGAUAAUCAGAUGUAUAAUUAUUCGGGCUUUUGGCAGACCUAAACUAUUAGAACUCUACCAAACACAAUACGUUCCUAGGGCGUCUUUGUUCUCCCAGCCAAUUCACCUUUACCUUGAGUUGCUUUGUGUUACGACCUUCCCCUUUCCCGCAACUUCCUUUCUGAUUCACGUUUUUGUGUUCCGAUAAUAGUUUGAGUUUUCCUUUAGAUGUAUCAAUGUAUAUUUCACGUAGCAUAGAUUCUGACGUAAUGUGGGUACCUGUAGUAAUGCAUAUGAUUUCCCUCAUUUCCGUAUCUUUGCAGUGUCAUAUUGCAACAUUCACUCCAUAUUUAUUCCUAUGUGAGUGUUGAGUCAGGCACCAGUUGAUACACAUUCACGUAGCUAGGCAGUUAAGAGAGAGAGAGAGAGAGAGAGAGAGAGAGAGAGAGAGAGAUUGUGUGUGUGUGUAUGUGUGUGAGUGUGACUUUCAUACCUUAAGUAAUAACACUAACUCUCCUGCAUACAAAUUAGUGUUACUUCCAUUUUACAAAUUAGUACCGUAUUUCUCAUCCUUGAUCACCGCCAGCACCGCCAUGAAACAGAUCUGUAUGUGUGUAUGCGUAGCCAGUUACUCUUCAUAUGCAGAUGUUUGUGUUUCCCUCAGUUCUGCACAUCAUAAUCCAUAGUGUCACAUGUUUUUAAGUUUUAUUGUACAAUUUCAUCACCAGUUUUAUAAUUUAACAAGUUCGAGGCUUCUAUUUCUGGUAUUUUUUUUUAGUUUACCGAUUUGUUUAGUGUGUAUGUUUGUAUGUUUCAAUAUGAUGUGUUUGUUGUGAUCAGUUAUGUGCAGAACACCUGUCGUCACUUGUGUUGCGUUCGUGCAGCAGCGGCAGCAGGGGCAAUACAAGUAAUGGUCAUGUGUCUUCGCUGAACAUGUCAUCUUCUUCAUUGCUCUGCGUGUGGUGUGGGCCCAGUAGCUCCCCGCCCUCACACCUGUACCAUCACCAUCAGGUACCUGUAGUCUGUGGUGCUGCCUGUCUUGUCAUUAUUUUGUUAUUAUCAUUGUCAUUGUUUUAUUAGUUUGUUGCCAAAAGUGUGAUGAGAGAUUGCUCAUGCAGUUUUGUCUUUUGUUGUUUCUCCAUUAUUAUUAUUAUUAUUAUCAUUAUUAUUAUCAUUAUUUUUAUCAUAAGAAAAUGAGGGAAGCUACAAGAAGCCAUUGUUAGGCCUACAAGUGGCAUUCCCUGUAUGAAACCUGUCAUCCACAUCCAUAAAUUUGUGCAUUAUUAUUAUUAUUAUUAUUAUUAUUAUUAUUAUUAUUAUUAUUAUUAUUAUUAUUAUUAUUAUUAUUAUUAUUAAGCAGUACAUUUCUACUUUAAUGCAAUGCACGCCAGGAUAAUAUAUUAUUAUACUCAUUUACUCAAUCAAGUGUGUGUGUGUGUGUGUGUGUGUGUGUGUGUGUGUGUGUGUGUGUGUGUGUGUGUGUGUGUGUGUGUGUGUGUGUGUGUGUGUGUGUGUGUGUGUGUGUGUGAGGCAGGAGGGUAUGCAAGAGCCGCCGCUGAGGAGAGAGGUCGAGUGUGUGUAACCGGAGUGUUUUUUAAUGCAUUUUGUACUCUGUAUGUAUAUGUUUAGGUGAUAUUAUCAUAAUCCUAACUAUUAUUAUAUUAUGGUUAAUUCCUAUUGCAUGACAUUAUUUCAAGAGUACUCCUCUACCUUACCUUACCUUUUUGUAAGCAGCUUUAAAACUCAUUUUACGGCAGAGCGCCAUCGUAUGCUUUGCUAUUAUAUGGUAUGUCUUUUUUGUAUCUUUUGUACUAUUAUUUGGCAAGGUUCAGUAUAUAAAGUAGAACAUUCGGUUUGGUCCGAUGUUAAGUUACGUACCGCCGUCUGGAGGCUGUGGGCUCAUGUCACGCACCACGACCCUCAGCUGUCCUCCUCCCGCUCCGGAGCCGUAAAGUAAUGGAAUCAGUCAGUCCACAGUGCAUCUGUCCAUAUGAAAGUUACGUCUAUUUAAGCACCGUAGAUUAACGCCAAUUUAGACUACUUGAUCCGCUCAGCCGUUAGUUAUGGAGGGGACGCCCGGAGUGUUGCAUCUCCGGGCACGGAAGACGCUGAGGGCGCCGUGGCCCACGCACACCAGAUAUCGCUGUGGCUAGUCCGGUAUUAGUCUUAUGCAGGUUAGGUCUUCCCGAGAAAAGAAAGAAAACAUUAGCACAUUAAGAUUAAGUAUGUGUAUGCUAGUUAUCAUUAUUAUUAUUAUUAUUAUUAUCACAAUUAUCAUAUUGUUUGUCAUUGUGAGUUCGGAACAACGUCUUGACAAGCGGUUGGUGUUUGUUGGACACGAGCGCUAUUCAAGAAAUGCAGUGGGAAGAAAAAAGUGGAAUACGAGUUGAGUGCAGCCCAGUUUCCUUCAAUUCAUUUAGCAUCACCAGUGUACAAGUAUGAUAAAAGAAGACAUGUAUUUGUAAAGAACAUGUGAGUUUUGAGUUUUCAUAUUUACGAAUGUAAGUGUAUAAAGAACGAAAUUGUGAUUGCAAAAGUUCUAUACAUAGUGCAAGUUCCCGCCUGUGGUUAGCUACUAUUAUAUCCUCCCAAGUAGCUCACGUAGAAGUGUGUUCCAGACUUUUGCUCGUUCAUCCCGUUUUUAGUCCAGGUCACUGAAGCUCUUGUCUCGUGGAUUCACCCUCCCCCCCUCCAACCCUCAAACCUUUGUACUCAAUUAGUUUUAAUGUUUUCCGUCACUCAUUCACUCACUCACUCACUCAUUUGCUUCCUGUUGGUGGAGUGAGUUAAGGAUGUUUUUAUACCUUUUUAAGUCAUGAAUUUAGUGAUUGGUCAGCAUUUGUGAGAGCUUUACUGUACAAAAAUACUGAAUGUCAUGCAAAGUAGUAUGACAACAUUGUAUAGCCUCCUUACUCCCCGUCCCUCUCCCUCCCUUCAUUCCCUUCACACAUCCCGUAAGCUGUUCUGAAGGCCGCCGUCGCUGCCACAACUAUAGGGUGCUUGUUCCUUCCUUCAUUCCUUCCUUUCUUCGUUCCUUCGUUCCUUCCCGUGGUGAGGUUCGAGGGGUGAACACAACACACGCGAGACAGGCGAAGACUCACUCGCUGGGUUCACUCGCCGCUUCAAGACCUCGUGUUCUGACAAAUACCCAAACUGUCCCUGAAUUCUCGACCUCUUGUUAAAUUGUUGCUAGUCUCGUCUGGCCGUCGCUCCUUUCUGACAUCUGCUCCUCGUGUGAUUUUCCUGCCAAGUGUGACUGAAAUUGGUGUCUCAGGUUGGACUAGUGCUAAAGUCUUGGAGAUUUGACACACGAAGGGCUUGAUUAGGUGAACUCUACGCCACCCUAACCCGACCUAACCUUACUCAUUCCCCAAGUACGUGGGAUGGGUUGACCUUCUUGUGGUGUUGGUAUUUACGGCCUUGUUCAGAAACGCCUUGCUCUUUCACCACGUUAAUUUUUGAAGUCCCCAUAGACGACUACUCG